CUUCUCGAACCCCGCCCCUUUCGCCUUUCCCUCCUGCGCUCCACCCCCCGCUUCUGAGGGCGUUGCUGUUCCGAGCUUCUCCCUCGGUGUUGAACGUGGCAUUACCCCUACCAGGCAAGCAUGGGACUACCAUCAAGGAGAAGCCACCAUCAAGGUGUGAAGUGCAGAGACCCAGCACUGGGGGAUUGGGGGUCCAGACAGGGCAGGGAAGCCUACCUGGCAAAGCCAUCACUUUUUCCAGCCCUGGCAGAGCCCCUGAGAGGACCCAGGGUAUGCAGAGGCAGGAGGAGGUUUGCUGCUGCCACCUUCACUUGACCGCGUUGCCUCAGGCUGCAGAAGCUGCCUCCAGUCCCAAUCCAGAGCCGUGCUAGCAAAGCCUUGUGGGACAGCCCCCACCUAAAUCUGAGCAGGGGUCUGUUUUGAUGAAUGUCGCCAGCUGUCCACAAGUUUACAGCUAAGCUGUGAAAGACGAGGCGAAAGACGCUUUUUUUGAGUCUAUAAAAAAAUAAAUUAAGAAACUAUGAGCUUGACUGAGGCUGGAUGCAAGUGUUGAUUGACAGAGGACACCAGUAUUGCUUUGUGGCUGAGCAGGUGCCCUGCAGAGACCUGUCAGGGUUUUGUGGCCUACAGAAGCCUUCGUAGACCCCUUCUCCUCCCCAGCCAUGUGCUGCUGCUGCUGCAUCACAGCUGCCUCCAGUGGCUGCCUACCUGGAAAGUAGGGAGGCUUUGCAUUCCCAGGCAGUCUGAAGCACCAGGGCCAAUAGCAACAGACCCCAGGAUUCCCCCUGCCUUCCAUCUCAUACACAUCUACAGAGUGCUUACAAAUGAAUUGACAAGAAUUGGUCUGUGGGGAUAACUGACAGUAGCAUCCUGCUCCAUUCAUUGACCAGACGAGGAAGACGGCAGGAGAACUGCAUCCGAGAAACCAACUGGCAGCUUCGGCAGUGGUGUCUCGAGGCAGGCUUCGGCUUCCUGGACAAUGACCCGCACAUCACGACGAGGGACAUGCUCAGCUGGGAUGGGCUUCACCUGUCCCCCAAAGGUAAGCGUGUGUUUUCUUCUAGGUUGGCAGAUCUCCUCCGGCGGGCUUUAAACUAGGCUCGUCAGGGGGAGGGGAGUACGAGGGCAGGGGAAGCUGUGGACCACCAAACCAUGUGGCACCCACAAGGACAGACCAGCCUGAAGAAAGAGAGCAUUGGAAACCUGAAAUCCAUGGGGAGACCAGCACUACAGAACAGGUGAGGAUGCAGCACACCUGCAGUAAGAACUGGAGGUGGAAUGCUAAAGCUGCAAGCAAGUUGAGGCUGAAGUAGCUUCCCUGAAGCAGGACAGGAAGCAAAGCCAGGAAAUAAAGAGGGAAACAAUAAGGAAUUGAGAUGCCUGUUAGCAGCUGUGGUAGAGAGAAUUAAGGAGAUCAUGCAGCUAAUCACAGCAGAAUCUGAAAAGAGCCAAAUGCGAGAAGAUAAGCUGUGAGCACUCCAAGAAAAGGCUGUAAAAGAGGAAACUCAAAAAGCAAGCUAGAAAGCAGAAGAAUCAAAAAAGGUCAGAAAGGUGGAAAAACAUGAAGGAGAACAAAAGGGGAAAAAAUAGAAAAGGUGACAUGGAUCACUGGCAAUGUUUUUUCAUAACAAUUACUUCAGGUUCAUCUCUUUAGUUAACUUGCCUAAGUGAUUCUUCAAAAUAACACUUGAACUGCUAUACUCUCCAUUGAUUGCUGCACCCAUUCAAGAAACACCAAGGCUAUGCUACACUGAAAGGGUUGACCUUAAAGUUGUCUUAAAAUCCAUACCCUCAGACUACUGUACACUGUAAAUACCUAAGCUUGAUAUGGCUAAGCUCUGGUGAGGUGGACUCUUCCCAUGUUUGCUUCCCAGCUGUCCUUUUUCUGUUUAUAUGUGUAGUGGGCAUAGGAACUAUAAUGCCACAGUUCCCUGGAUUUGACUUCCUUCCUUUUUUUCCCACUUCCUUUCUGCCACCUGUAAGUGGAGGCUUUGGUGUUUACUCCAAGAUAUGAGUAGAGGAAGAAGUUCACCUUAAGCUGCUUGAGAGGAACCUUAACGUCACCAGAAUUUCACAGUACUGCAAUAAACUGAACUUCUCUAUUAAUUCUUUCCCAGGAAAGUAUAGGAGAACUUGUUGUGGUGAUGACAACUGACACCUCUUUCUUUAGUUGCAUCUUACCCCCACUCAGCUUGACAUGGCCAGAGGCUUCAGUGCCUCCCUCUACUGAGCACUGGGGGUCAUGUGUGGCAUAUAGAAAGGCACUGGGGACUAGUGGUGUUUGAGUGAAGCUAGCUUGUGUUUAUAUUGCACAAAGGUCAUCUUAGUAGCUGCUGAAUUUAAACCUGUUAUGACAGAUUCUGGUUUUGUUAUAGUAUUCCUGUUAUAACAGUAUUGCAUGCCUCAGUUUCCUUGAUUAGCUUGUACAGGAAGGGGUUAACUAUAUCAGACCUGUGAGGACCUGCAGGAGUGCUCAGUUAGUGGGGAAUGCACCAGCAGGAGAUCAAAGAGCCAAUUUCCAUAUGAAAACACAAGAUAGCAGGAAGUGGACUCCAGCUUCAACAUCUGAAGGCUGUUUGUAGUUUCAAAGAGGGACUUAAAAGCACCCCUAGAUCAGAGGUGCCCAACCAGCAGUGUGCAAGCCACGCUGUGGCAUGGGCAGCUGCUGUGUGGCAUCUGAGCCUCCGGAUCUCUGAUCUCUGUAAAGGGAAGCAGUAAAAUGUAGCUGGAGGCUCAAGCUUCUGGUCAGGUGGAGAAUAGCGAGGGCAAGACUUUGCUGAAAGAGGAGGUAUCAAGUGUCAUCACCAAGAGCCAAAUGAAUCCUUUCCUAUCCCUGCAGCUGCCACUGAAUUCAGGGAUUUAUAUCUGUGCUACCCAUAUAAUACUGUGGCAGUUGCAAGGCCAGAGAAGGGUUAACUUGUCACUUUGCUAAGUGACACCUCUUCUUGCAGCAGUGUGCUGGUCCCAUUAUGAUCUUCUCAGGCAGAAGCUUGACUCCUGGCACCUCUGAUCCAGUGCUCCAGGGUACAAACGUGAUCGGGUAUAUCCCCGGGAGAGGGGAUCAGAGAGGCAUUCUGGGCAGAGGUGUGGCUUAAUUGUGGCUUGGCGACUACUGCCCUAUCCCGUCUUGAGAAACAGGGAUGCCUAGAGACAGAGGAGGAGUCAGACAGGGCAGAGAAGCUUUAAGAGGCUUGAAAGGGUACAGCCAGGGAUGUUUUUCCAAACAGAGACUGCUUUGCAGUGAAAACAAGUCCUAGUGCUAUUCUUGUAUCUCGUCACUGCAUCAGGUAGAGAAGGAUGUUAAAUACUACAAAUAUUUUGCAUCUGGAAACUUAUGAUUUCAAGUGAACAGAGGACCUCCUUCUCAUUCAUAUCUACUUUAUAUUGAAUGCAUUUCUGAAGGCAUCACUUUUAUACAUAUGAAAAUAAGAAAAACAUCAAGCUUUGAGUGUUCUGAGUCCCUCCUAUAACUACUUUGCUUGGCAAUACCCAAAAUGAAAAUGAUCUUAAUCUUCCUUCAUCUAGAAGCCAGUAAAAUACUAAGCACUGAUUACAAUCAUUUGUAUUUUUAAAUAUACUGUAAUACAUGGAAUAUACUAUAAUGAAAUAUAUACCAUAAUAAAUGGAACAAGUGGAAUAUGCAUUUGAAAGUGUUACUUUCAGAUAAUACUGAAACCAAAAUGAAAUAAUGUGGAGAUUUGAAAUGUGUACCAUCAGAUACAAACACUCAUUUAAAGGAAUGUACAGCCUACCACAAAUGAGAUUUGGGCCACUGUGGGUACAGCAUUCUGCUAUUUUCCUGUGGAGUUUUGGAUUUUUUAAAAUGUUUUUAUGCCCAACUUAUUUAUUCACUAACUGCUUAGUGAAAAACAACAUCCCUAGUUGUACCCUCUGUCAAAAAACAAUUUAAUAACUUCAUCCAGAACCCAAUAUACAGAAAUAGUCUUUCUGCGUAUUUCUCAUUUCAGCUGAUCAUAUUUUAUAGUCAUCAGAAUAGUGGGGGAAAUAUAAAAGCUGGCAUGGCACUGCAAUAACACUCUGAGUAAAACUGUAUUACUGGCUAAGGAAAAUAACUCUUGGAUCUUGAAAUAUCUCUGCCCUUUAAGUCCAAAACAAAGCUUUUGUCAAGUAUUGCCUAUAAAAGCAGUGCCUUGUGAUUCUGAAUUGUUUAUCCUUUAAGCUCAUCUUUUCACCAAAAGCUCAUUAACCUACAAUGAGAACACCUGCAAUGAAUUGAACUUAAUUUACAUUUUCACAUUUGCACUUUUCCCCAAUUAGAUAGGUGGUCCAAUAAAAGAUACCACUCUAAGAAAUCCUUGCCUCUACCACAUUUUCACUUAAUACAUUCAUUGUUUAGUUUCAGUUUUAUCCUAAUUAAGGCACGGACCAAUAUCCAUGAGCACAGGCUAGAACACUAGUGAUGCAGAGCAGUAAGCUGGAGGCCACUGAUGCAUGGCUUGAAGCUGGAGGCACUGGUGUGAGACAUAAGGAAGACAGUUUUAUGGAGCAGCCUAAGGGGCUCCAGGGAACAAUGAUAGGCUGGAAAAUGUUACUAAAGUACUGUCGACUGAAAAUUACUAGAGAAAGACAGAUGGAUGGGAUGACCGAUAAAAGGAGAAAAAUCUGUAAAAUGGUUGGUUUGAGGGAACUGGUAGACAGAGUCCAUCAGAAGAAAAGCCAAAAGUGGAUGCCCACUGGAGCAAAAGCAACAGCUAGAAAUCACUGGUGUAUGAUACAGGUGAACUUUCCAAGAGCUUGAUUAGUAGAGCACAACAAUUGUACUGCCUGAGUGGGUCAACUAAAGUAAACUUUGCAACCUAAAUAUCAUUCAAGUUAGCCAAGAGACUAGAAUAUGCAUUCUGUGUCAGGGGCUGAAAUGACAGAGCUGGGAUAGAAAACUGUACUUUGUUUUUGCAAGUGAUUUCAGUGUGCUGAACAGAGGUGAUUCUACACAUUUAAAUGACAGACUGGCAUACAAACCACAAGUCCAAACCAUGCUGGACAUUAGGAUAACGGAAAGACACAGAUCAAGCUGGGUAUUUGAAUAAACUUGUGAUAUGUCCUACCCCUUUUAAGGGAGUAUGACAUGCUGUUAUAUGUUGGCACUGAUCACCCUUCUGCAACACCAGACAUCCAAAGAAAAGGAAGGAGAGAGGAGGAUUCAUGCUAUCUUCUUCCAGGUCUGGAUGGGGAGCUGGACCACUAACAAUGAAUUCCAGAUUCUUGCCUGCCCCAUGGCCUGGCAAAUAUUAAACAGCCCCAAUUUCACUGGAAUAGCUGUAGACCACCCACCAACUAGCUAAGGAGAAGGAAAUCCAAGGGUUUUUCUGUCCGUGUUUUCCCUCUAAAGCCCAGCAGUGUCACCAAUCCUAGGAGCCUGUACCCUUCCCCCGUCAUAUGGACCUAUUACCACCAAAACAGCUAGCAUGUUUUCAGGGAUGCAGUGGCACACUUUAAAAAAGUUCCUCAAAUUGAGACCUCUAGAAAUCAAUUAGUGGGUCAUAGAGUGGGCAGAGGAGGUCCACAUAGAAAAAUAAUGCUGGCAUUCUGCAAAGCAAUGCUUCUGCCUGUUGUGCUCUAGCCACAACAGCAUGGAGCCUCCCAAAUUAGCCUGUUCAGAGUUCAGUGUUGCUGUGGCAACACUGCUUGCAGUACCAGUACCAAGCUAGCUCAUUUACAACUCUUUUAGAUAUCUCUACACUCCACUGUGCUCUGACAUAUUCUCUGUUAGUUGCAUACCAACAGGAUUUAACUGUGUCAUGCGUGUUGUUUGCAGACAGAUAACUAUACUUAGAGCCAACAAAUUGUAAGUGAUUGAAUAAUCAUUCCAAAAUUGUCAUAUGGUCAGGUCCUUAGCUGUGUAUCCAGGUAGGUACUUAUUACCCUUUCCAUUGUCUAGUGCCAGUGCCAUUAUUAGAAUAUACUUUGGGAUGCAUUGGAGCUAGUCUGUUAUCUCUUUGGGAGUUAGUCUGUCAUCUCUGUGGGGUUAGGGUUGUUUCUGUUUCUACACUAUGUUUCUCAUGAUUGCUUCAAUAUUUUCAGUUCUCAAAAUAUGAGACUAUCAUAAUGAAAAUGUACAAAAAACCAGAACUCUUGGUUCCAAAAUGAUACCUUUUAUUAGACCAACUGGGAAAUUGCAAGAAAAUGGUUCUAAUGAAAAUGUUUAAAUUCUGUAAUAUCAGAAAAAGAAUAAUUAUGCAAAUCAUAUAAAUCAUAGAAAUAAACUGGCAAAUCAAUUUUACAAUAAUCAUACUUUGGUGAAUGUUGCCUAUUUCUGUUCACAAACUUGCCUGCAUUUACAAAAGGGACUAAUUUUAGCAUUGGGGUCUGCUAUUUUUUUAAUAUUGAUAUAAUUCUAGGUAUUCUAAGAAAGUAGAAUGUUUCUUGCUCAAAAAACAACUCCCCCCCAAACCCCCCCCAGUCAAAACCAAACCAAAAAACAACAAUAAAAAAAUCCCCACACUGCCAUCCUAAAGCAAUGCAUGAAUGAAAAGCAGGGGAAAAUAGUGGAUGGUAUUAAAAUAAAUAUAUAUUUUUAACAUGUGUACUAUUGGAAUAUGCAUCUGUACAUGAUACAGAUUAGGAAUGUAGAUGUGUGUUCUAAUGGACUGUGGCUUAAAGAGGGACUUGAAAAUGGACAGUAUAGAUGUAGAAUCCAAACUUAUAAUUCAGUACUAUAAUAAUCUAUAAAAGAAGAAAACGUAUUAAAUCAACUUGGAAUAAAAUACAAAAUAAAACAAACAAAAAAACAGAGUUUGCAGUUAGCCAAGCAAUCAUCUCUCAGCAUGGAAGCUGAGUGAUCCUUGAAACAGGUGAAUCAAUCUUAGACAGAGGCUGCCAAGGUCAAUGAGUUGCUAUGCUCUAGGAAAUAUUAACAGAUGUAGUAGGAACUGGGAGAUAAAAUGGGCUAUGGCAGCAGUCCUUUCGCAAUAAGAGUUUUGUCUGAAAAGGGACUGUAGGCUUAGAGGCAGGAAACUGAUAAUAGAAUUUGAAGUAAACUGUCGACAAUGACCUGAAGGAAGCAUUAUAAAGGAGUGAUGUCACAGCACAUUAAUUACUAUCAUAAUACUGUUAAGCUAGGUUAGUUUCUGAAGAUAAAGCAGAUCUCAGCAGACACUGGGAGUUUAGUAUCAUGCUUCACUUUAAGAUGUUUUAAAUAGCUUUUUUACAUUAUGUAUCGACUACUAUUUUCAGGCAAAUUAGAAAUACAGUUUACAAGUAAAAACAUGGGUAUGAUCUCAUCAAGGCUUUUCUAGAGUACCCCAAUAUAAAUAUACUCCUUUUUACCCAGGCAGUAUCCUUCCCUACUUCAUGAUUCCUGUUAUCUUUUCACUGUAUAUAUCUUUUCACUUUUUAUUUUGACUUUGACUCUGAAUCGCUCCUGUCACUCCUGUACCUAUUUUGGAAAAUUUGAUUUGCAUAAUGAACAGUUUUGCAGAGAUUCAAAAUAUAAAUGGAAGUGUUUCUACCAUUAAAGUGAAUAAAAUGUGAAAGGUCUCAAUCUUCGCAACUGAAUGUGCAUUCAGUAAAACUUGAAAAUUAAGUUGUAUAGAAAGGGAAAUAUUCACCUUUAUCACUAGUUCCCCACACAUUUUCUAACUGACCAAUCUCAGCCCACCAUUCAGAAGCGAAAAAACUUCAACAUGGCAUAUUAUACUAUUUCUGUAUAACCUAGAUUAUUCACUUUUUGGCAAUUAAAAUACUCUUAAUUCUGGUGACAUAUUACAGACCCAUUUCUGAAAUGAAAUCAACUAAUCAGCCUGCUAUGUAGUAGAGACAGUAAGUAUUACUAACCUAGUAAGAAGUACCUUUCCUACAGAUAUUAUCAGCACCUUUUCUAGUAAUAACAUUUCUACACCAGGUUAAAAUAAUGGAUUGGGGCAUUACAAUGUAAUAGGUUGGGAGAAAUGUCUUUGAAACAACGUGGGGGUGGGUACGCAACAGCUGCAUUUCAUAUAAGAGCAUUCUAAGAAGUUUUCAUUUCCUUUAUUCAAGGUAGCUUAGCUGACAAAACAAAGUAGCAUCACCCAAAACAAUGGCAUGUUCUAGGUACACCGUGGCAGAAGGAUUUAAUUGUCUAUUGUUUUGUUAAAGCUGGUGUAUCUCUAUGAGGAAAAAAGACAGCUGAGACAGAGGGAGAGAGGCAGGAAACACCAAAGUACCAGAAAGAGAAGCUCUGGUAAUGCGGCUCUGAGGGAAAGCUAAGAGAGGGGUCAAAUACAGGCUUAAAGAGAUUUGGAGCUGUGAGCAAGAAAGUAUCUAUCCCCUGUUGGAUGUUCAGGGAAAUUGGAUUUUGUAUGUUCUGUGUUUGUUAAAUAAACAGGAUUGCACUAGAAGUACUUGAUUGCAUCACCAAUUUCUUUUCAUAGCAGAAACACCCCACAAAGGUCUGAAUUUUGUUUAAUCAUGCUUUUAGAAAGUGUAACACUAAUUCAAGAUCUUGUCAUAGGAAUAAAUGUUAUUUCUAUAUAAAUCAAAAAGAAGCAGUAUGAUAUACGACAUACAGAGCAGUAUGAUAUAAAACUGUAACUCUAUCAAAGAGUUUUAAUGGGGGUCUUCAGGAGGAGGCUGGAUAGACAUUUGGCUGGGGUGUUAUGACCCCAGCACUCAUUCCUGCCCAGGGUAGGGGAUCAGACCUGAUGAUCUGUUGAGGUUCCUUCUGACCCUAAGCACUAUGAAUGACAAUAUAAAUCACAAAAUCACAUUACAUUUCAUAAUAAUGUGGUAUAAAAUGAUGACAAAAUAUAAUAUAUAUUUAGUAGGCUUUGUAUUAAGUCCCUUUGUUUGUUUUAUGAUUCGUAAUGCUUAAGAACCAGCAUACAAUAAACAUGGACAGUUAUUUCAAAGAUCACUAUUGUUAUUUCUAUUGUUAUUGUUUGAACAUGCUAUUGAACGUGCUGUUGUUAUUGUUUGAACAUGCAAGUUAUUCGU